UGAUGGGGGGUGGGGCCAAAGUGAAAUGACCUUGAAAUCAGCUCUUCAGGCCAUGACCAAGCCAUGAAAAUUGUUUCCUCUUGUCACGAGUUAUGUAAG